GAGACACCCCUAUGGGGCAGGACUUGUUUCAGUGGGGCUUUGGUGCUCACUGAGUCUGUCCCUUGAGUCACUUAUGUCACU
rnacentral:pre_miRNA from 1 species